rnacentral:rRNA from 1 species
GACGAACGCUGGCGGCGUGCUUAACACAUGCAAGUCGAACGGAAAGGCCCUGCUUUUGUGGGGUGCUCGAGUGGCGAACGGGUGAGUAACACGUGAGUAACCUGCCCUUGACUUUGGGAUAACUUCAGGAAACUGGGGCUAAUACCGGAUAGGAGCUCCUGCUGCAUGGUGGGGGUUGGAAAGUUUCGGCGGUUGGGGAUGGACUCGCGGCUUAUCAGCUUGUUGGUGGGGUAGUGGCUUACCAAGGCUUUGACGGGUAGCCGGCCUGAGAGGGUGACCGGCCACAUUGGGACUGAGAUACGGCCCAGACUCCUACGGGAGGCUGCAGUGGGGAAUAUUGCACAAUGGGCGGAAGCCUGAUGCAGCAACGCCGCGUGCGGGAUGACGGCCUUCGGGUUGUAAACCGCUUUCGCCUGUGACGAAGCGUGAGUGACGGUAAUGGGUAAAGAAGCACCGGCUAACUACGUGCCAGCAGCCGCGGUGAUACGUAGGGUGCGAGCGUUGUCCGGAUUUAUUGGGCGUAAGGGCUCGUAGGUGGUUGAUCGCGUCGGAAGUGUAAUCUUGGGGCUUAACCCUGAGCGUGCUUUCGAUACGGGUUGACUUGAGGAAGGUAGGGGAGAAUGGAAUUCCUGGUGGAGCGGUGGAAUGCGCAGAUAUCAGGAGGAACACCAGUGGCGAAGGCGGUUCUCUGGGCCUUUCCUGACGCUGAGGAGCGAAAGCGUGGGGAGCGAACAGGCUUAGAUACCCUGGUAGUCCACGCUGUAAACGGUGGGUACUAGGUGUGGGGUCCAUUCCACGGGUUCCGUGCCGUAGCUAACGCUUUAAGUACCCCGCCUGGGGAGUACGGCCGCAAGGCUAAAACUCAAAGGAAUUGACGGGGCCCCGCACAAGCGGCGGAGCAUGCGGAUUAAUUCGAUGCAACGCGUAGAACCUUACCUGGGUUUGACAUGGAUCGGGAGUGCUCAGAGAUGGGUGUGCCUCUUUUGGGGUCGGUUCACAGGUGGUGCAUGGCUGUCGUCAGCUCGUGUCGUGAGAUGUUGGGUUAAGUCCCGCAACGAGCGCAACCCUUGUUCACUGUUGCCAGCACGUUAUGGUGGGGACUCAGUGGAGACCGCCGGGGUCAACUCGGAGGAAGGUGGGGAUGACGUCAAGUCAUCAUGCCCCUUAUGUCCAGGGCUUCACGCAUGCUACAAUGGCUGGUACAGAGAGUGGCGAGCCUGUGAGGGUGAGCGAAUCUCGGAAAGCCGGUCUCAGUUCGGAUUGGGGUCUGCAACUCGACCUCAUGAAGUCGGAGUCGCUAGUAAUCGCAGAUCAGCAACGCUGCGGUGAAUACGUUCCCGGGGCU